GCCCCUGUGACGUAAUUGGAAACCGUCGCCGACUCAGACUCGGUGUUUUUUGCAGGUUCGACUCCUGUCAGGGGUA
rnacentral:tRNA from 1 species